GGCCCCCCGGGGAAAAUGUACAGCCCGGAACGACUAACCCUCCCCACCAGACGGUCCCUGCAGCAUAGAUGGCCCGGACCAGCUCACCCUUGCUUCCCACCGAGGGGAGGGCGACUCUGAACGGCGCAGCACUGAGGCAGCAGUACGUAGACGACGUACACUUACGACGGGGUGAGGAGUUAGUAGUGCAGCCCAGCAUCGGGCACUAGAGGCUUCAUACAGCAGGACUAUCUAGUGUCCGACUCUUCGGAACAUAUAACAGACAGAGGGGUCUUAUUUGUGGUGCACGAGUGCAUCGGCUAGUGGAAGCGCCUGUAGUGCGGAAAACAGUGCUGUCCCAAGACCCCUGCCUCUAAGACCCUGCACGCCGAAGCUAUGUAUGUGCACCGAUACCUUCAAUAAAGACCCCUGAAUGGCUCCUCAUAACCCCAAGGCUGUAUCUUCCUGAAGGAGCUUCUGAAGAGGGACAAGGCUUACGGUGCAAACCCAGGUCCUGCACCCCUACAGAUACUGGAGAAAAUGGUGAAGAGGCCUCAGCGCAGGAGGAGAGAUGAGAGGGAUUUAAAUUUUAUUAUGUAUUUAUUAUGUAAUUUCGGAGGACGCCUAGAAAAGAAGAAAAUGGCUUGAAAAGAAAAAGUUUUUCCAUUGAUCUUCCUUAUUAUAUUGUGGCUAACAAACAACUUCAAAAGCAUUUAAACCAGUCGACACAAGUUAAAGGGGUAUUCCAGGAUUUUUAUUUUUUAUUUGACUAUGCUACAGGGGCUGUAAAGUUAGUGUAGUUCAUAAUAUAGUGUCUGUACCUGUGUCGGUUUUCUCACAAUUCUUAUGUGAUUUUCACUCCAAUAUUUAUUUUUACCUGCAUACAAAAUGACUGCUGUCUCAGAUUUUUCCCAGCUUGCAAUGCGGCAAUCACUAGUCAGCUGAUGACAGGGAGCCUGUCUGCUUCAAUGGGUGGAGCGAUCGCUUGGUGGGAAAGAGAUCAGUCUGCAACUAAUGCAACAGCUGUAGGCACCCUGAUUGAAAACCACAGGUCUUUUGAAUGGAUGCAGCUCAUUUAUGUUUCAAUGGGUGGGGUGGCUGAUGUGGGAGAGGGAGGAAAAUGGAAUUAUGAGAUUUGUAGUAAAAAAAAAAAAAAGAAAAGUCAAACAGGAAAUACAGGUUCACAAAAAGCUAGCCACAGUGUUAUGGUAAUCUCACAACAUAGCCAUUUAGCCCCAAGACAAGAGCAGAUCCUUCCUAAGCAUGUCCAUUACUGUCUGCCAGGUACGUACUAAAAUCACCUUAUGGUGGAGAACCCCUUUAAAUGGUCACCAUCAUUUCAACAAACUUGACAUAAAUCAAAAGUACAAGUGAAUGUAAGAAACUUUGCAUUAUAAAUUAUUGGAGAAAAAUGCUUCUUUUUCCUCUUAUCUUAUUGAAAGAUUGCUUAUACGUGUCCCCUAAGAAGAUUAGGGAGCCGGUAAUUACACUUACUGGUAAUUCUGUUUCCCUGAGCCACACCAGCACUACCUGAGAGGGACUCCACUCCUAAGGACAGGAAACCUGGAGAUUAAGAGGGAGUGCCCUCCACCCGAGAGAUACUGUAUAAGAGCCUCACAUUAGUUAGUGGACAAAUAUA